UCCUACGGGGGGCAGCAGUGGGGAAUAUUGCACAAUGGGGGAAACCCUGAUGCAGCGAUGCCGCGUGGAGGAAGAAGGUUUUCGGAUUGUAAACUCCUUUUAUCAGGGACGAUAAUGACGGUACCUGAAGAAAAAGCUCCGGCUAACUACGUGCCAGCAGCCGCGGUAAUACGUAGGGAGCGAGCGUUGUCCGGAUUUACUGGGUGUAAAGGGUGCGUAGGCGGGUAAGCAAGUCAGAAGUGAAAUCCAUGGGCUUAACCCAUGAACUGCUUUUGAAACUGUUUAUCUUGAGUGAAGUAGAGGUA
rnacentral:rRNA from 1 species